rnacentral:rRNA from 1 species
GGUUUGUCGCGUUGUUCGUGAAAUCUCACGGCUUAACUGUGAGCGUGCGGGCGAUACGGGCAGACUUGAGUACUGCAGGGGAGACUGGAAUUCCUGGUGUAGCGGUGGAAUGCGCAGAUAUCAGGAGGAACACCGGUGGCGAAGGCGGGUCUCUGGGCAGUAACUGACGCUGAGGAGCGAAAGCGUGGGGAGCGAACAGGAUUAGAUACCCUGGUAGUCCACGCCGUAAACGGUGGGUACUAGGUGUGGGUUUCCUUCCUUGGGAUCCGUGCCGUAGCUAACGCAUUAAGUACCCCGCCUGGGGAGUACGGCCGCAAGGCUAAAACUCAAAGAAAUUGACGGGGGCCCGCACAAGCGGCGGAGCAUGUGGAUUAAUUCGAUGCAACGCGAAGAACCUUACCUGGGUUUGACAUGCACAGGACGCCGGCAGAGAUGUCGGUUCCCUUGUGGCCUGUGUGCAGGUGGUGCAUGGCUGUCGUCAGCUCGUGUCGUGAGAUGUUGGGUUAAGUCCCGCAACGAGCGCAACCCUUGUCUCAUGUUGCCAGCGGGUAAUGCCGGGGACUCGUGAGAGACUGCCGGGGUCAACUCGGAGGAAGGUGGGGAUGACGUCAAGUCAUCAUGCCCCUUAUGUCCAGGGCUUCACACAUGCUACAAUGGCCGGUACAAAGGGCUGCGAUGCCGCGAGGUUAAGCGAAUCCUUUUAAAGCCGGUCUCAGUUCGGAUCGGGGUCUGCAACUCGACCCCGUGAAGUCGGAGUCGCUAGUA